GUUGAGGUCUGUCUCAAUGGGGCUUUUUUUUUAACCUAUAUUGUUGGAACACCUCAGAGUAACUGCUAUGAACACUGGAAUACAUUA
ensembl:snoRNA